GGUCGCGAUGGCUCAGUUGGGUAGAGGUUUGGCUUUGGUUUCGGAGGUCUGGGGUUCAAUCCCCACUGUGGUCA